UACGAAGGGGGGCUAGCGUUGUUCGGAAUUACUGGGCGUAAAGCGCGCGCAGGCGGCUAUCCAAGUCAGUGGUGAAAGCCCGGAGCUCAACUCCGGAACUGCCAUUGAAACUGUUUAGCUUGAGGAUGAGAGAGGUGAGUGGAAUUCCCAGUGUAGAGGUGAAAUUCGUAGAUAUUGGGAAGAACACCGGUGGCGAAGGCGGCUCACUGGCUCAUACUGACGCUCAGGCGCGAUAGCGUGGGGAGUCAAACAGG
rnacentral:rRNA from 1 species